UUUGAGCAUGCCCAAAUCGUUUUUGAACGGGGUCUCAAAGAUGCUCCUUGGAGCCAGACAUCAACUGGAAACCAGGAGUGAUGAAAAUCAUAUGCUGAUCUCAGAUUGGCAGCACCUGAAGGAAGCCUUUUAUGAGGAGCCCCAUGAUGUCCAAGACAGGAUUCAAUCCAUGGCAACCCUCUGGGUUCCAUGCUGCCGAUGUUCUAUUUUUUGCCCUUUGUUAAUAUAACUAUUUCUUUUUGUAAAUAAAUUCAUCUCUUUUAUAAGCA